rnacentral:lncRNA from 1 species
AGAGACCGGCCCACUAUGUUGCCCAGGCAGAUCUCGAACUGCUGAGCUCAAGCGAUCCUCCCGCCUCCCCUCCCGAAGUGCUAGGAUUCCAGGUGUGGCCACCGCGCCCACCACUUCCUUGCCUCCUCUCCCAAGCUUGCCCUCCUGUCUCCUGCUUUCCCUUAGACAAACUCAUAUGAUCCUGGGCCCGCGCAGAUAAUCUGGCAUAAUCUCAAAAUCCUUAAUCCCAUCUCUGGGGCCACAAUUCAACCAACUACAAGCUUGAAUUUGGGGAAUGAGCCAUGGAGGUGUUGGGGAGAGCGUGUUCCUGGCAGUGCAAGAGCCAGGAGGCAGGAGACAGCCGUCUGCAGCAGCCCCACUCCCGCCCUCCAGGGGCUGUGCCUUCUCCUACAGGUGAGGACUCAGUGGGGCCGGGGCACUGUGCCCACCUGGAGUAUGCAGGUAGAGAAACCACAGGGCUGCGUGAUGACUGGAGGGACUGAUAGGAAAAGAGGACCAAGGGGUCCGGGGCCAGGUUGUGUGGGGCCUCGUGGGCCACCGAGGACUUGGCAUUGGCUAUGAGUGAGAUGGGAGCCCCAGGGAUCCAAUCUGACACCCCUUCCCAAGGGGCACUCAGUGGGCUGCGAGUGGCUUGUGAGGAGCUGGUGGCCGAGGCAGGAAGGGGAGGCAGGAGGGAGAUGCAAUUGUCCAGCUGGGAGGGUGGCUCAGCUGUAUAAGUGACCCCCCAGGAGGGCACCCCUCCACCAGCCCAGGCUCCAGGACUGAGGCGGGGGGGUUUGGACAGGCACCCAGGGGGGCCACAGUUCUGUGGCAGUGUGGGCACCAAGGCCUGGUCCCCCUGGCUUGGAGCCCCGCCCCCACAUGGCCAGUGUGUGCAGGGAUGAGGUCCUUCCUGUACUGCCAUGGCUUCCCCUGGGCCCACCCUCACCACCUGGCUCUGGCACAAGGACCUUUACAGCAGCUUUAUUUACCACUGCCCAAACGCAGAAACAACCGAUAUGUCGGCAGGUGAAUGGAAAAACUGUGGUACCUACAGACAAUGGAAUACUAUGCAGCUCUAAAAAGAAAUGAGGCCAGGCACAGUGGCUCAUGCCCGUAAUCCUAACGCUUUGGGAGGCCAGGAGGGCGGAUCACUUAAGGCCAGGAGUUUGAGACCAGCCUGGCCAGCGUGGCAAAACCCGUCUCUAAAAAUACAAAAAUCUCUCUCCCUCUCCCUCUCGCUCUCGCUCUCGCUCUCGCUCUCCCUCCCCCUCCCCCUCUCGCUCUCGCUCUCCCCACGGUCUCCCUCUCCCUCUCUUUCCACGGUCUCCCUCUGAUGCCGAGCGGAAGCUGGACGGUACUGCUGCCAUCUCGGCUCACUGCAACCUCCCUGCCUGAUUCUCCUGCCUCAGCCUGCCGAGUGCCUGCGAUUGCAGGCGCGCGCCGCCACGCCUGACUGGUUUUCCUAUUUUUUUGGUGGAGAUGGGGUUUCGCUGUGUUGGCGGGGCUGGUCUCCAGCUCCUAACCGCGAGUGAUCCGCCAGCCUCCGCCUCCCGAGGCGCCGGGAUUGCAGACGGGAGUCUCGUUCACUCAGUGCUCAAUGGUGCCCAGGCUGGAGUGCAGUGGCGUGAUCUCGGCUCGCUACAACCUCCACCUCCCACCCGCCUGCCUUGGCCCCCCCAAAGUGCUGAGAUUGCAGCCUCUGCCCGGCCGCCACCCCGUCUGGGAAGUGAGGAGCUUCUCUGCCUGGCCGCCCAUCGUCUGGGAUGUGAGGAGCCCCUCUGCCUGGCUGCCCAGUCUGGAAAGUGAGGAGCGUCUCUGCCCGGCCGCCCAUCGUCUGAGAUGUGGGGAGCACCUCUGCCCUGCCGCCCCGUCUGGGAUGCGAGGAGCGUCUCUGCCCGGCUGCCCCGUCUGAGAAGUGAGGAGCCCCUCUGCCUGCCAACCGCCCCGUCUGGGAAGUGAGGAGCGUCUCCGCCCGGCAGCCACCCCGUCCUGGAGGGAGAAGUACCAGGAGGAUCACGGCGCCCACAGCCUGGCAGCUGCUCCACCACACCUUCUCACUCGGUGCCGAGUGCAGCUGUUCCUGUCUGAGGAGGCUCAGUUUGGAAGCAGCCCCUCUUGGGACUCAGAAAUCAAGGUCUCCGCCUUCCCCUUCCUCGAGAACACCAACCUCUCAAUGAACUUUCACUUCUUACUGCGGUUAGCAGUUUUUAGCAAGUUAUUUUUAUCUAAUAAAAACAAUAUAUAGUUUUAAAAAUGCGAACUCUACAGGAGUUCGAGACCAGCCUGGCCAACAUGUGAAACCCCGUCUCUACUAAAAAUACAAAAAACUAGCUGGGCGCAUGCCCGUAGUCCCAGCUAUUCGGGAGGCUGAGGCAGAAGAAUUGCUUGAACCUGGGAGGCGGACGUUGCGGUGAGCCCAGAUUGCAGCACUGCACUCCAGUCUGGGCUACAGAGUGAGAUUUCAACUAAAAAAAAAAAAAAAAAAAAAAGUUGGGGCGUGGUGGCUCACGCCUGUAAUCCCAGCACUUUGGGAGGAUGAGGCAGGCAGGUGGAUCACGGGGUCAUA